GACGAACGCUGGCGGCGUGCUUAACACAUGCAAGUCGAACGGAAAGGCCCUGCUUUUGUGGGGUGCUCGAGUGGCGAACGGGUGAGUAACACGUGAGUAACCUCCCCUUGACUUUGGGAUAACUUCAGGAAACUGGGGCUAAUACCGGAUAGGAGCUCCUGCUGCAUGGUGGGGGUUGGAAAGUUUCGGCGGUUGGGGAUAGACUCGCGGCUUAUCAGCUUGUUGGUGGGGUAGUGGCUUACCAAGGCUUUGACGGGUAGCCGGCCUGAGAGGGUGACCGGCCACAUUGGGACUGAGAUACGGCCCAGACUCCUACGGGAGGCAGCAGUGGGGAAUAUUGCACAAUGGGCGGAAGCCUGAUGCAGCAACGCCGCGUGCGGGAUGACGGCCUUCGGGUUGUAAACCGCUUUCGCCUGUGACGAAGCGUGAGUGACGGUAAUGGGUAAAGAAGCACCGGCUAACUACGUG
rnacentral:rRNA from 1 species